CACAGCCAAAUUACCACAAGAAGUUGCACUCACAUGCUAUCUGACAAAGAUAAGAUCUGUGCUAGAAUAUGGAGCAGCAAUUUGGGACGGUUUGGCAGAAUAGUUGCGGUCGAAAUUGAGAGUACGCAAAACAGAUGUCUAAAAAUACUUGGAAUCCAUAGGAAUAAUUUUAAAUCAUUACGAGAGAGAAGAAUUCAUAUUGCUAUGGAGGAACUGAAACGAACUCAAAUUGAUGCUACCCACCCCUGUCAUAAGUUUAUCCCUUUGCCAACAUCUCAUGUUCAUGAUCUGAGAAGAAACUCUAGUAUUCCAAACCCAAUAUCACACACUAAAAGACAUGAACAAUCUAUUAUCCCAAGGGCAAUUGAUCUUUUAAAUAAG